AGUGAACGCUGGCGGUAGGCCUAACACAUGCAAGUCGAACGGCAGCACAGUAAGAGCUUGCUCUUACGGGUGGCGAGUGGCGGACGGGUGAGGAAUACAUCGGAAUCUACUUUUUCGUGGGGGAUAACGUAGGGAAACUUACGCUAAUACCGCAUACGACCUACGAGUGAAAGCAGGGGAUCUUCGGACCUUGCGCGAUUGAAUGAGCCGAUGUCGGAUUAGCUAGUUGGCGGGGUAAAGGCCCACCAAGGCGACGAUCCGUAGCUGGUCUGAGAGGAUGAUCAGCCACACUGGAACUGAGACACGGUCCAGACUCCUACGGGAGGCAGCAGUGGGGAAUAUUGGACAAUGGGCGCAAGCCUGACCCAGCCAUACCGCGUGGGUGAAGAAGGCCUUCGGGUUGUAAAGCCCUUUUGUUGGGAAAGAAAAGCAGCAGGUUAAUACCCCGCUGUUCUGACGGUACCCAAAGAAUAAGCACCGGCUAACUUCGUG
rnacentral:rRNA from 1 species